UAACUUACUUGGCGCGGAGGAUAUCCAUGAUCAACAAGGUGGUUCCUCCUGGGCAAGGCUUGUUCAUUGCACGGUUUUUUUUAAUUUCUUCUUUUGGAGAAAAAUAGAAAGGCCGAACAAGCUGAACCUUUUGAGUACUUCAAUUGUGAGUAUAUCGAGCGCAAAAUUUUUGACUAAUGCGGGAUCUGCGUUCGCGCUGUCCCGUA